GGGCCUGUGGCUCAGUUGGGAGAGCGCUGCAAUCGCACUGCAGAGGUCGAGGGUUCAAGUCCCUCCAGGUCCA
rnacentral:tRNA from 1 species